CAGGGGGCUGGAGGCGCCUUCAUCCGCCCGCCUCGCACCCGGGUCGGCCUGCCCAGCCCUCGGCUUGGGGACCCCGGGCGUCCCGCCCCGGUCGUCCGGUUCCGACGGCCACUGCGGGCAGUAUUGGUAGCGGCCGCCAAGGAUGAGAAGGGUUGUGCCGCGUGGGAAGUGGGUGCGAGUCCUUGAGGCGGGCUGGGAAGGGGGGCGGGCUCACCCUCGUAGUCCCCUCUGGUCACGCUCCCGCCAGUGACACUGGACCUGGCAGAGCAAGGCGGGCGGCUUCGAGGUUGUAAGCAGGGAAUUGCCACUAUUUGCGGGCUUUCUAAAGGCCACGUGUUCCAGCUCCUGAAGACAAAUGGAAUGACAACAACUGGAGCAACAUUUUGGAUACAAGCUACUCGCUCCUCUUCAUGGAAACAGUACCCUCGUUUAUUUUGAGGAUCGUACCAGCACCCCUCGGCCCAUAAGCUUCAGGUGAUAUCAGCCACUACUAUGACUCACUGGGUGACCCACGACUCAGAUUGGUGGCUUUGGGACGCAGGAGACAGCAUCCUUGAUGAUUUCUCACAGGAGGCACCAUCAGGAAUUGCAGCAAUGAGGCCUCUUCAGCCAGGGCCAUUACUGAGAGGAACUGGAGCAUGGCUGCAGUUAAUUUCAUCUGGCACCACCAUACUAAGUCCUCCAAUCAAGAAAGCAGUCCUGAAUUUCCUCCUCUUCCAUCAGCUGAUCUCUGGGAUUCCUCAGUAACCUAUACCCCACCAUCAGG